rnacentral:rRNA from 1 species
GACGAACGCUGGCGGCGUGCCUAAUACAUGCAAGUCGAGCGGACAGAAGGGAGCUUGCUCCCGGAAGUUAGCGGCGGACGGGUGAGUAACACGUGGGCAACCUACCCUGUAGAUCGGGAUAACAUCGAGAAAUCGGUGCUAAUACCGGAUAAUCAUUUGAAGCGCAUGCUUCGAAUGUAAAAGAUGGCUCCGGCUAUCACUACGGGAUGGGCCCGCGGAGCAUUAGCUAGUUGGUAAGGUAAUGGCUUACCAAGGCAACGAUGCGUAGCCGACCUGAGAGGGUGAUCGGCCACACUGGGACUGGGACACGGCCCAGACUCCUACGGGAGGCAGCAGUAGGGAAUCUUCCGCAAUGGACGAAAGUCUGACGGAGCAACGCCGCGUGAGUGAUGAAGGCUUUCGGAUCGUAAAGCUCUGUUGUUAGGGAAGAACAAGUGCCGUUUGAAUAAGGCGGCACCUUGACGGUACCUAACCAGAAAGCCACGGCUAACUACGUGCCAGCCGCCGCGGUAACAC